rnacentral:rRNA from 1 species
GAUGAACGCUGGCGGCGUGCUUAACACAUGCAAGUCGAACGGACUUAUGUUGAAACCUAGUGAUAUAUAAGUUAGUGGCGGACGGGUGAGUAACGCGUGGAUAACCUGCCAUAUACAGGGGGAUAACACUUAGAAAUAGGUGCUAAUACCGCAUAAGCGCACAGUUUCGCAUGAAGCAGUGUGAAAAACUCCGGUGGUAUAUGAUGGAUCCGCGUCUGAUUAGCUUGUUGGCGGGGUAACGGCCCACCAAGGCGACGAUCAGUAGCCGGCCUGAGAGGGUGAACGGCCACAUUGGGACUGGGACACGGCCCAA